rnacentral:misc_RNA from 1 species
UUUCCGUAGGUGAACCUGCGGAAGGAUCAUUAUUGUAUAACCGAGGUGCGAGGGCUGUCGCUGACCCGAAAGGUCGUGCACGCCCGAGUGCCCUCACACACAUCCAUCUCACCCCUAUGUGCACCACCGCGUGGGUCCCCCUUUGGCUUGUUCGGAGGGGGGCUUACGUUUUCACACAAACUUUGUAUGCAGUGUAGAAUGUAUUUUUUGUUUUUGCGAUCACGCAAUCAAUACAACUUUCAACAACGGAUCUCUUGGCUCUCGCAUCAUGGAACGCAGC